rnacentral:rRNA from 1 species
UACGGAGGGAGCAAGCGUUACUCGGAAUUAUUGGGCGUAAAGGGCGCGUAGGCGAUCUGACAAGUUCUGUGUGAAAGCCCACAUGUUAACUGUGGAAGUGCACCGAAAACUGUUGGAUUUGAGUUCAGGAGAGGAAGGCAGAAUUCCCGGUGUAGCGGUGAAAUGCGUAGAUAUCGGGAGAACACCAGUGGCGAAGGCGGCUUUCUGGGCAUUUCCUGACGCUGAGACGCGAAAGCGUGGGGAGCGAACCGG